rnacentral:rRNA from 1 species
AUUGAACGCUGGCGGCAUGCCUUACACAUGCAAGUCGAACGGCAGCACGGGGGCAACCCUGGUGGCGAGUGGCGAACGGGUGAGUAAUGCAUCGGAACGUGCCCCGUAGUGGGGGAUAACUAGUCGAAAGAUUAGCUAAUACCGCAUACGACCUAUGGGUGAAAGCGGGGGAUUCGAAAGAACCUCGCGCUAUCGGAGCGGCCGAUGUUUGAUUAGCUAGUUGGCGGGGUAAAAGCCCACCAAGGCUUCGAUCAGUAGCUGGUUUGAGAGGACGACCAGCCACCCUGGGACUGAGACACGGCCCCGACUCCUACGGGAGGCAGCAGUGGGGAAUUUUGGACAAUGGGCGCAAGCCUGAUCCAGCCCUGCCGCGUGCGGGAAGAAGGCCUUCGGGUUGUAAACCGCUUUUGGCAGGAACGAAACGGCGCGAGCGAAUAUCUCGCGUUAAUGACGGUACCUGCAGAAUAAGCACCGGCUAACUACGUG